AGCUUUCAAAUGAAAUUCAAAGCUUGGAUUUUGGAGGGAAAGGUAAGAUUCAAAUCCAAGGCAAUUCAAGUUCAUUCAAAAUUCACAAAAUUGGAGGGAAAGACAUUUUGUAUUGCUUAGAAAAUAAGUUACAACCAUACAAGGGUAAUUCAUGUUCAAAACACCAAAGUACAUGACAAAAAUCCAAAAUUUCAAACAUGAUACAAAGUACACAUUUUGACAUAGGGUUGACUUUGGUCAACUAUUGACUUUUGGGUCAACAAUAGACCAAAGUAAACUUUUUAAUCCCAAAACCCUAAUUCUAUUGUCUUCAUGCAUAAGAUACUCAAAAGCAUUCAAGUCUUUAUGCCUUGAUCAAACCCUCAUAAACCAUAACCAAACCUUGCCACCUCCAUGCCAGGCCAAUGUCAACUCCAUCGUAGGUACGUCAUCCCUGCAUCAAACAAACCAAACACACACACAAUCAGAACUCAUACCAUACAUUAACAUAUGACCUAUACCCAAUCCAACCAACCAAUAAACAUGACAAUCAUUUCCUACAAAAAUAUAAGUCAAUCCACAUAACUCAAUCAUCCAUCAUACACCAACCUAUCAACAAUCUAAAAGGUCCUAUUAUCCAUGUUAAUUCAUCUCAAUUUGCUAACAGUUACUAACAAAAAAAAUUCCAUAACAACCUAUAUUUUUAUUAUUAGCUACUAGCAACAACUCUAACACACACAUUCCAUCAAGUGUUCACAUAGUAGAGUUAAGUUAGACUAGUACCACAAAUUGCAUUGACAUGCACAUGCAAUUCGAGCACCUAACUAAGCCUGUUUUUGGUUUGGUAGCGCUGUAACUUAAGUCAUAAACAAAAAGUCAGAGUUCUACUUGAUUCCAUAAACUUUCAACACAUUUUAGUUGGCAUAACCAUGUGAUUCAUCAUGUUUUCCUAAUUCACCAUCGAUUAACCCUAACUAUUCAAAUACCAUAGCAUAGUAACACACCAACUUCAACUAAUAUUUCCAAAUUAACCAAGAGCCAUAACAAUUCAUAACACAUUCAAUAAAACACCAAUGCAUACUAACAUAGUUGGAAAUUAACCAUUGCUUACAACAAUUAUUAACAUCCCUUAACACCAUCACUAACUACCUCGAGUUUCUAUUUCAUUAGCUAACUGUUUUUCCUAACCUAUACUAACGGUUCUAACUAACUUUCACUAACAUCUAAAUUUAUAACAAUCCCAUUUCUUAAUUCUAACUGUCAUGACUACUCCACUAUAACACAAUUAAAUCUAACAAAGCUACAUUACUAACUCAUUUAUCACUAACAACUAACCAUAACUGAAUUUCAAUUACAAAAUUAGCCUAACUGUUUUAACAAAGAGCUAACAAAACCACCAAUAGCCAUGCUAACAUUUUAACUGGAAGCUAUAUUUUUUUUUCAAUUCAUCCAAUAUUACAAUAACAGAAGUUAAUAGAACUUCACUAACUAAAUCCAAAACUAACUUAAACCAACUAUAACUAACAAUUAACAUAAUUUUUUAACAAUGUGAAUCAUCCUAACAAACUUUUUCUCUAACAUAACUGAAAUGAAAUUAUGCCCAAACUCUAUUAACAUACCUUAAUGACUUCCCGAUUCAGUUACUCAAUUCAAACUCUAUAUAUUCGACUCUCCACUCCGAUUCAUCAGCAACAAUCAUUCAUUCACUCUGCACUCACAAACAAAAUCUCAAUCCUCUCCAUUUUCACUUUGUGAGCAUCUUCAACCUCUCUGCAUAACCCUCUCUAUUUCUUCACUCUCUCAAGCGCAACAACCAAAAAACCACUGUUUCAACAUCUACGGACUAAAGAAGAGAAGAAAAGGAAAGAAGAAUUUGAGCAAAUAUGAGUCGAAAUCGAGAGUACUUGUAGCAUUGAGCUUCUUCCGUUCUUCUGUUUCAUUCUUCUUCAACUCCUACGACCCCUGGGCAAUUCUCCUCCUGGUCGAUGAGUUCUUUGAUUUCUUCAUUCAUUCUCGUUGAUACCAUUACCUUCAUUGUAGAAUAAGGCUCUAUGGAUCAAAGCCCUAACGUUUUAGGCUUUGAUCCCUCCUCUAGAGCAUUUAAUUUUGAUUUUGAUUUUUAGGGUUCUUGAAUAUUUUUGUUCAAUUUGAGAAUUAUGGUAGGAAUAUGAGGAAAUUGAUGAUAGAUUGUGAAAGAGCAUGGAUGGACGAGCAUUUUGACAUUGAUUUGGUGGUGUUUGGACCUCCACCGCUGCCGGAGGCGAUUUCCGGUGCGGUGGAAUUUUUGGCCAUAGCUUGGAGGGAAAUAACGCGUUUGGACUGAGUGAUUUGAACUUGUUUCUGAAAUAUCUUCCCUACUCUCUUGGCUCUUAUAUGUUGGCCUAAAGCCCUUUGCCCAAACCAACUUUACCACACACACCCUUAUUCUAUUGUGCAAUACCCCCGUGUUCUGAAGCUAUAAUGUUGGUCCUUCUGAUGUUGGGCCCUGCGCCCUCUUCCAGGCCCCUCUUUUGCUUUAUUUUAUUUGUUUAUCUAUUUUUUUUACAUUUUAAUACUCUAGUUUUUGUUUACAUUUUUAGUCAAUAAGCAUUUUAACACAUUUUAAUGCCAUUUUUAUUUCGACAUGAGAAUACUUAGAAAACUCCAUGAUAUUACUUAGAUAAUAAUUAGAUUUUAAUUAGGUAAAAAUCUCAUUUGAAUAUUAAAUAAAAAUGAUAACACACUUAGGUUUUCAUUAUAAUUUAGGUAAUCAUUAGCUUUAAAACAAAUUUUCAAUUUAAAUCUUUUUAUGAAAUAAUACACAUGUUCUUAUUAAUUUCAGAUUAGAUUUUAGAAUUAAUAUGCUUGUUAAUAUUGUCAUGAAUUGAAUCUUGUAGUAAAGAUCCAUGCUUGAAAUGUCUUUAACCUGAUCUUACUCAUGAUUGAUGGACUGAUCAAAAUCACUUUUGAUCAACAAAUCACUUCAUUUUAUUUGAUUACCUCAUCCAAUC
rnacentral:lncRNA from 1 species